GUCAGGUGUGGUGGCGCACACCUGUAAUCCCAGCAACUCAGGAGGCUGAGGCAGGAGGAUCACAAGUUCAAGGCAACUUAGCAAGACCUUGUCUCAA
rnacentral:sRNA from 1 species